GGGCGGGCAGCCGGCUCGCGGUGGUGGACUGACUUGGAGCUGGAGACUGUGGGCUCGGCUAAGCUUUGCCCAGGACUUCUGGGACCAGCUGGGAUGGAGAAAGAGUACCCGAACCUGAUCAGUCCCCCCAAGGUCACCUUGUUCGAGCCAUCUGAAGCAGAGAUCAGUCGCACCCAGAAGGCCACGCUCGUGUGCCUGGCCACCGAAUUCUUCCCCAACCACGUGGAGCUGAGCUGGCUGGUGAACGGGAAGGAGGUCAGCAGUGGGGUCAGCACGGACCCCGAGCCCUACCAGAAUCAGCCUAACAACAAAAACUCCACCUACUACCUGAGCAGCCGGCUCAGGGUCUCUGCCAGCUUCUGGCACAACCCACGCAACCAAUUCACCUGCCAAGUCCAGUUCCAUGGCCUCACAGAGGAAGACGCGGACGAGUUAGUUAAGAACAUGACAUUAGUGAACAAAACCCAAGCCCUCUCCCAGAACAUCAGCGUCCAUGUCUUGGGCAGAGCAGACUGUGGCCUCAACUCAGCAUCCUACCGGCAGGGGCUCCUGUCUGCCACCCUCCUCUAUGAGAUCCUGCUGGGGAAGGCCGCCGUGUACGCCCUGCUGGUUGGCGUCCUGGUGCUGAUGACCACGGUCAAGAGAAAGGAUUCCUGAUGCCAGCCCCAGUAGGGCCUGCUGAGUCGUUCUCCAUCCUCGCCCUGGAUUCCCCUGAACCUGCUUCCAGUCUCUCUCCCUGGAGACUCCUUCCCUUCACCUCCUCUCUCCCCCUACAAGGAGUCUGUCCCUGCCUCUGCCUUCCUGCGGGCCGAGCACCUCAACCCUGAAUCUGAAAUAGACAAAAGCAAUAAAAAUGGUCGU